GACGAACGCUGGCGGCGUGCUUAACACAUGCAAGUCGAACGGAAAGGCCCUGCUUUUGUGGGGUGCUCGAGUGGCGAACGGGUGAGUAACACGUGAGUAACCUGCCCUUGACUUUGGGAUAACUUCAGGAAACUGGGGCUAAUACCGGAUAGGAGCUCCUGCUGCAUGGUGGGGGUUGGAAAGUUUCGGCGGUUGGGGAUGGACUCGCGGCUUAUCAGCUUGUUGGUGGGGUAGUGGCUUACCAAGGCUUUGACGGGUAGCCGGCCUGAGAGGGUGACCGGCCACAUUGGGACUGGGAUACGGCCCAGACUCCUACGGGAGGCAGCAGUGGGGAAUAUUGCACAAUGGGCGGAAGCCUGAUGCAGCAACGCCGCGUGCGGGAUGACGGCCUUCGGGUUGUAAACCGCUUUCGCCUGUGACGAAGCGUGAGUGACGGGAAUGGGUAAAGAAGCACCGGCUAACUACGU
rnacentral:rRNA from 1 species